rnacentral:rRNA from 1 species
AUUGAACGCUGGCGGCAGGCUUAACACAUGCAAGUCGAACGAGUGGCGGACGGGUGAGUAAUGUCUGGGAAACUGCCUGAUGGAGGGGGAUAACUACUGGAAACGGCAGCUAAUACCGCAUACCAUCAGAUGUGCCCAGUUCUGAUUAGCUUGUUGGUGGGGUAACGGCUCACCAAGGCGACGAUCCGUAGCGGGUCUGAGAGGAUGACCAGCCACACUGGGACGGUGGCACGGUCCAGACUCCUACGGUAGGCAGCAGUGGGGAAGAUUGCACAAUGGGCGGAAGCCGGAUGCAGCCAUGCCGCGUGUAUGAAGAGGGCCUUCGGGUUGUAAAGUACUUUCGUCAGGGAAGCGUUACCCGAAGAAGAAGCACCGGCUAACUCCGUGCCAGCAGCCGCGGUAAUAC